rnacentral:rRNA from 1 species
CCCUACGCAGACAACUCAGCUCAAUUCACUAAAUUAAAAAAAUUCAGUCACAGCACAAGAAAUUUCCACUUUAAAGGAAUCGAAACAUCCCCACCACGCAACCCUAGAAAUGCAUUUCUACUCUAUGAAACAAUCCUGGAUGCUCAGCCCACAACAUCGGAAGCUCCGAUUCAGCGAAAGCCCUUGUCUGGAUGUGCUGGAGCAGCCCAAGUCUUAAAUCUGCAGAAAUACCUGUUUUAUAUUUUUGGGAACCGCCUACUUGGAUCGCUGCCUCAUCUUUCGGCGCUUCCUCUUGAGCCUCCUCAUCCUCUUCUUCUUCCACUUGGCCCUCAUCGCGGCGGCGGAGUCGGCCUCGCUCUCCUCUUCGCGGCGGCGGAGUCGGCGGCGGAAGUGUGUGGACGAACCCGA